rnacentral:rRNA from 1 species
UUGGGUUAAGUCCCGCAACGAGCGCAACCCUUAAGCUUAGUUGCCAUCAUUAAGUUGGGCACUCUAAGUUGACUGCCGGUGACAAACCGGAGGAAGGUGGGGAUGACGUCAAAUCAUCAUGCCCCUUAUGAUUUGGGCUACACACGUGCUACAAUGGACAAUACAAAGGGCAGCGAAACCGCGAGGUCAAGCAAAUCCCAUAAAGUUGUUCUCAGUUCGGAUUGUAGUCUGCAACUCGACUACAUGAAGCUGGAAUCGCUAGUAAUCGUAGAUCAGCAUGCUACGGUGAAUACGUUCCCGGGUCUUGUACACACCGCCCGUCACACCACGAGAGUUUGUAACACCCGAAGCCGGUGGAGUAACCAUUUGGAGCUAGCCGUCGAAGGUGGGACAAAUGAUUGGGGUGAAGUCGUAACAAGGUAGCCGUAUCGGAAGGUGCGGCUGGAUCACCUCCUUU